CCGAGUUUUCUGACACGCGCCAUCAAACUUAGGCCUAGGUUUUCUUCAGAAGAGGCCGCGUAAAGCCGGGGCGCUAUCAAAAGCGAUACUCUAUUCCUUUCAUCAGAUUCUUGUGAUCCAAAAGACUGCCUUCGUUUGGUGAUGAAAUUUCCGAAGCAUCGAACGCCUUCCUUCUCCGAUCUGAGUUUUAGUUGUUGUUUCCCGCAUUCAUCUUCCGUUUCUCUUCCCGCUAUGCAUCGAUCGAUCUCAACCUGUAUUUUCAAUCCCUAUACCGAACUCCAAUCACUACCAGAUGCGGUCGAUUCAUUCGGUCACAUAGCAGAAAAGAAACAUUGCUCUACUGUCAUCUGAGCAUCUUGAUCGAUUGUUGCUGCCAAUUGCGGCAAAACCCAUUGAUCAAGGUGCCAUAACUAACUUCAUCUAAAUGGCUUCAGUCGUGGUUAAAUGAAGUUAGUUAUGGCUCUUGAUCAGUUGGUAAUUCAAACCAUAAGAUCAAGAAGCCUCUAAUGAAGUCUGAUGUUUAGCCAAAUGGUCAAUGAAGUUUGAUGCAGUUUGGAGAAGCCGACAUCUCAACGAAGAUAAUUGCGGAUUAUUUAAGCGAAUUCUCAGUCAAUGAAUUCACUUAGACUUACACUAUACUUUGAUGAAUUGUGUUUAGGUUGUGCUUAUCUGGUAGAAUUAAUGCUGCGUAAUUGAUUUUUGAGCCUCUUUUGUUCAAAUGCUGGUAUAUUGAAGUUAAAAUUCGGUCGAUCUGUGGACUCCACUGAAAAACACUUCAUUUUUUUUACAUGAAAAAAACUUUAUUGAUAAAGCAGAAUGAAUGUUAUUGGCUGUCUGAGUUAAAUAUGUUUCAUUUGAACCAUUUUUUAUCACUUUUGUGGUGCGUGAUAAUAAGAAUGAUAACGAGUAGAAACUCAUUCAGAAAAUAAAACACAGCAAGCCAUGGUAGUUUCACUCCAAGCCACUUAUAAAUUCAUGUUCUAUCAUGUUUUGCUGAAGAUGCUCUUUUUGUUUUCUUUAAAUCUUGAAUUUGAUGAUUCUAUGGGUUGAUGUGUUUGUGUUGAAACGACUUAAUAAUCCGUCUUCUAUAUCUAAGUAGUUCAGUGUAUGAUUUAUGAACCUUUUGGUAUUUUGCUGAUCGGAAUAUAUGGUUUUGAGCAGGUAUCUAAAAUUUAGCAGUUUGAGGGUCAAUGAUCUGAUUGAGAGUUAAGGGUUGGGAAUAAGGGCUGGGCCUUGUUUAAAUAAGGCUGCGUGUUUGAAAAAUGAGAGGUUUUUAAGGUAAUAGGUUUUUCGGGCCCAACCCUGAUAAGUCUUGAAAAAAGGGCUCAAGCUUGGGCGAGCUUCCAAACUCUGAUAUCUUUUUUUUUUUUUAAAACUAUGUAAAAACAGUGCAUAGAGAAAAAAUUUAAAGCUUAAACUUCUCUAAUUUUGUAUCUCUUGACUCUCACUCUCUUAGCCUUCUUUUUUAGAUUGAAACUCUCACUCUCUCAACUUAAAGAUUAAAGAUUUCACAAUUACUCAUCUACCUUCCCGUCAAUCGUCGCUUAUCUCUAUCUCACUCAGCAUCUUUAUUCUCUCAGCAAUCAUCGCUUAUAAUGUCGUGAAUUUUGCAAUGAUAUGUUUGAGACAUAUAUUUUGGAUUUGUAGUGUCAUUGUUUGAGACUGUGAGCAAUGAGAACAUGUUGUGCACUGUAGAUUUGUGGUGUUGCUACUCGCUUGAUAGAUUAUUGUUUUUUUUUUACAAAUUAAUGUCUUGUUUAUAUAUAUAUGCAUAUAAAUAUUAUAUUUUAUUUAAUUUUUAUACCACUGAUUCGACCGUCAGGUUAGUUAAAUCAUGGAAACUGUGACUUGCUGCACUUUUCAAUUUGACAUCCAGCUUGGCUUUCAAAACAUUGGUUGCAAGCAUCCAACAUGAAUUAAAUGAGUAGGGUGACUUAUGAAGGGCAAAAUAGAGAUUUCAAGUUUUUACUUCCUCGUCCUCUUUGACGGCUCUGAAGUCUUUAUCGGAAAUUUCAAGCGCUCAAUUGGAUUCGCCAAUGGCUACUAUGUCUGCAACUUCUUGUUUCUCCUCUAUUGCAGCAAAGCACCAGUUAUUCGUCAGACUCAAAUCUGAUGGCUUGAAACUCUUCCAGUUCCGGGUGUUUUCGGAGGUAGAAAUGAUGACACAUUUGGAUUAAACUCUUCCACUCUUUGCAGCUUGAACUCAAAUUUAUUGGGGGCAUGACUAUUCUAGGGAGCUUGGUAUUUUUGCUGAUAAUUUAUUGAAGCGUGACAUUGAUUCUGACCUUGCUUUUGAAGCUAGAUCUGGGGAUCAUCAUCAUACGAUGAGAAGGAAUCACCAUGGCAAGCAUCAGAGCUUAACACAAAAAUAUCUGCCACGAACCUUCAGAGAUUUGGUUGGGCAAAAUUUGGUGGCACAAGCUCUUUCAAGUGCAAUCAUGAGAAGAAGAAUUGGUCGGGCAAAAUUUAUGGACCAAUGGCACUGGAAAAACUUAGUGCUGGGAUAUUUGUUAGCUUUAAAUUAUCAUUCUUCUGAACACCCGAAAUCAUGUGGCUCCCACCAUUCUUGCUUUGCGUAGGCUAUGAUACGGGCUAGAGCUGUAAGCCUCCUCAUUCGAUUAAACUCCCCAAAAUUUGAACGCUUCGUCCAUGGUGUCGGAUCAGAUCCACUUUGGGAUUCCUCAUGGCAAGGGUUUCGACCUGGGGUUGACGACAUGACGGUGGAGAGGGAGAAUUUCUGAACAAAGGAGGGGCUCAGACUCAGACCGAGCCCCUGGGGUUAACAUGGCAAGACACCCGGCAUUUUGGGUCCGAUUUUUUUUCCUCUCUUGCCCAACUUAAUGGACGAGGAUUCAAGGUUGGGGGCAGAAUUAUUCCAUUUUAAUUACUUUAAAAACGAAGUUGCUGAUGCUCUGA